GAUGAAGAACGUAGCGAAAUGCGAUAAGUAAUGUGAAUUGCAGAAUUCAGUGAAUCAUCGAAUCUUUGAACGCACAUUGCGCCACUUGGUAUUCCGAGGGGCAUGCCUGUUCGAGCGUCAUUAUAACCCCUCAAGCUCAGCUUGGUGUUGGGGCCUGCUGCACUGGCAGCCCUUAAAAUCAGUGGCGGCGCCAUCUGGCUCUAAGCGUAGUAAUUCUUCUCGCUAUGGAGUCCUGGUGGAUGCUUGCCAUCAACCCCCAAUUUUUCUAUGGUUGACCUCGGAUCAGGUAGGGAUACCCGCUGAACUUAAGCAUAUCAAUAAGCGGAGGA
rnacentral:misc_RNA from 1 species